UUUCCGUAGGUGAGCCUGCGGAAGGAUCAUUAAUGUGUUUGGGCCUCACGGCUCUUCAUUCCGACGCUGUGCGCCUUCGGGCUGCACGCUGAGGGAGCAUAUAUCCACCCCUGUGCACACACACGGUGGCGAGCUGGGUAACGGCUCGCCGCUGAUCUUUACACACGUCUAAAAGUCAUUGUAUGUUUAUUUGAGAUAAAAACACAACUUUCAGCAACGGAUCUCUUGGCUCUC
rnacentral:misc_RNA from 1 species